rnacentral:rRNA from 1 species
UACGGAGGGUGCAAGCGUUAUCCGGAUUCACUGGGUUUAAAGGGUGCGUAGGCGGGCAGGUAAGUCAGUGGUGAAAUCCUAGAGCUUAACUCUAGAACUGCCAUUGAUACUAUCUGUCUUGAAUAUUGUGGAGGUAAGCGGAAUAUGUCAUGUAGCGGUGAAAUGCUUAGAUAUGACAUAGAACACCUAUUGCGAAGGCAGCUUACUACGCAUAUAUUGACGCUGGAGGCACGAAAGCGUGGGGAUCAAACAGG